UUUUGCCUUUUUUAUCAACUAGGGAGAAUUAGAAAGGAGAAAAUUUUCAGAAAUAGUUCGAAUUUGGGCAUAACGUAUAAGCCCGAUAAUAUCAAAUUUUAUUUGAUAAACCACACGCUUGCAUCGUCUAUUCAAUGCUUUCGUGUUAGCAGCCUAGCAUGAUAGGAGAGGCGGGCAUAUCGUAGCUGUAGAGAUCAAUCAUCCACACCAUCAAAGCUGGCGCCGACGCGGGCACCGGCACAACCGAAGUACGUCGCCGCC
rnacentral:lncRNA from 1 species